GAUGAACGCUGGCGGCGUGCCUAAUACAUGCAAGUCGAGCGAACGGACGAGAAGCUUGCUUCUCUGAUGUUAGCGGCGGACGGGUGAGUAACACGUGGAUAACCUACCUAUAAGACUGGGAUAACUUCGGGAAACCGGAGCUAAUACCGGAUAAUAUUUUGAACCGCAUGGUUCAAAAGUGAAAGACGGUCUUGCUGUCACUUAUAGAUGGAUCCGCGCUGCAUUAGCUAGUUGGUAAGGUAACGGCUUACCAAGGCAACGAUGCAUAGCCGACCUGAGAGGGUGAUCGGCCACACUGGAACUGAGACACGGUCCAGACUCCUACGGGAGGCAGCAGUAGGGAAUCUUCCGCAAUGGGCGAAAGCCUGACGGAGCAACGCCGCGUGAGUGAUGAAGGUCUUCGGAUCGUAAAACUCUGUUAUUAGGGAAGAACAUAUGUGUAAGUAACUGUGCACAUCUUGACGGUACCUAAUCAGAAAGCCACGGCUAACUACGUGCCAGCAGCCGCGGUAAUACGUAGGUGGCAAGCGUUAUCCGGAAUUAUUGGGCGUAAAGCGCGCGUAGGCGGUUUUUUAAGUCUGAUGUGAAAGCCCACGGCGUCUCCGUGGAGGGUCAUUGGAAACUGGAAAACUUGAGUGCAGAAGAGGAAAGUGGAAUUCCAUGUGUAGCGGUGAAAUGCGCAGAGAUAUGGAGGAACACCAGUGGCGAAGGCGACUUUCUGGUCUGUAACUGACGCUGAUGUGCGAAAGCGUGGGGAUCAAACAGGAUUAGAUACCCUGGUAGUCCACGCCGUAAACGAUGAGUGCUAAGUGUUAGGGGGUUUCCGCCCCUUAGUGCUGCAGCUAACGCAUUAAGCACUCCGCCUGGGGAGUACGACCGCAAGGUUGAAACUCAAAGGAAUUGACGGGGACCCGCACAAGCGGUGGAGCAUGUGGUUUAAUUCGAAGCAACGCGAAGAACCUUACCAAAUCUUGACAUCCUUUGACAACUCUAGAGAUAGAGCCUUCCCCUUCGGGGGGCAAAGUGACAGGUGGUGCAUGGUUGUCGUCAGCUCGUGUCGUGAGAUGUUGGGUUAAGUCCCGCAACGAGCGCAACCCUUAAGCUUAGUUGCCAUCAUUAAGUUGGGCACUCUAAGUUGACUGCCGGUGACAAACCGGAGGAAGGUGGGGAUGACGUCAAAUCAUCAUGCCCCUUAUGAUUUGGGCUACACACGUGCUACAAUGGACAAUACAAAGGGCAGCGAAACCGCGAGGUCAAGCAAAUCCCAUAAAGUUGUUCUCAGUUCGGAUUGUAGUCUGCAACUCGACUACAUGAAGCUGGAAUCGCUAGUAAUCGUAGAUCAGCAUGCUACGGUGAAUACGUUCCCGGGUCU
rnacentral:rRNA from 1 species